UACAGAGGGGGCAAGCGUUGUUCGGAAUUACUGGGCGUAAAGAGUGCGUAGGCGGUGCUCUAAGUUUGGUGUGAAAAUCUCCCGGCUCAACUGGGAGGGUGCGCCGAAAACUGGAGUGCUUGAGUGUGGGAGAGGCAAGCGGAAUUCCUGGUGUAGCGGUGAAAUGCGUAGAUAUCAGGAGGAACACCUGUGGUGUAGACAGCUUGCUGGACCAUAACUGACG
rnacentral:rRNA from 1 species